GCCGUGGCCUACUGGGUUAGCGCUUCGGACUUGUAACCGGAGGGUUGCCGGUUCGAACCCUGACCAGUAGGCA
rnacentral:tRNA from 1 species